rnacentral:lncRNA from 1 species
AUCACGGAUUCAUUUAUUUUAUUAGCCACCAUUUGGUUCGGGAUUAAGUAAAAACUUGUUAUUUCAGGGAUAGAGUUAAGUUCAAGAUUAAAAUGGGGUUAUAGUAAUUUUAUAUUUGGUUGAGAAUUGGGUUUAGUUCAGAUAUAGAUAAAAUAAUGUUUGGUUGAAAUAGGUGGAAUAAGAAGAAUAGUGAGUAAAAUAAUAUUUUAUUUGGUUAGAGUAGUAGGGUCAGGUGGGAUUAGCUAAAAGGGUUAGCUAACCCCACCCCCGAAUUGAGUGUUUGAGAAUAACUUCAGAGUUAAGAGAGUAUUCCACCCCUGACCUCGAACCAAAUGGGUGCUUU